GACCCCAAUAAAAAACGGUGAAAAUUUUGUUUCUUCUUGAGAUAUGAUCCAUGUGAAACAAUGUAGAAUUGCCUAUUUGAUGUUUCAAACUUGAGCCUGGUAGUGUCCAUGAAUUGCUUGGGGGGUCCUAAAAUCUCUACAUUUUGAGUUCAUUCAUCAGUAACUUCAUUUUAUGUCCAGCUUUUGUUAAUUAUUAGCAAUGAUUGCAUUCAAAUGUUCCCGAUAAAGCAUUAAACUUCAAACCAUGAACUAUGGUUGACUUCAAACUUUGUCAUGAGUAGGAAGUAGGACCAUAUAUUUUUGUGGGUCUGUAGAAUUGAUUCCAAUUGUCUAAGCAUCAAAAGAACCAUGACAUUGAGUACAGGGGCUGCCAUGGGAUGGAAUUAUGAUCACAAUUCCUAUGUCAUUACACACUGAGUGGUUUGGUCCAUAGUGAUAACAUCUGAAUCUGCUAGAUCAGAUAGGAUCAAACUGUAUUUGAAUACACUGUUUUGAUCCUACUAGAUUGAAGCUUUUUGAAGAUUUUUCCUGUAAUUGAGUUUCCCAAAGUUGGUUCCCUCCCUCAUGAUUACUAUUAGUAAGGGCUUAAAAAUCUUUUGAGAUUUUGAUUGAUGAGUCAAAACCAUGAAAUUCCAUCUGUUUUCUAGAUGAGGAAGUGGAAUUUUGAUAGAGAGUGAUGAAGGCAGUUCCUAGGGGUGGAAGAGUUCGGUUUGUUGUGGAGUCAAAAUCUUUUGAGAUUUUGAUUGAUGAGUCAGGUGAUAAACUGAGAGGGUGCAUUUGGGAGAGAAGCAAAGGUAUAACAUCUUGGAUCAGAUUUGGGGACGUUAGUCUAGGUAGGUUGCUGGCCGGGGUUGAGUUUUGUUGCAGAGGCGGUGAUGAUAAAGGCUGGUCCCAUGCUUGGGAGGAGGAGGGUAGGAGUUACAGGCUGGAGAAACGUCUAAAUGAGGCGGGAAGAUUUAUCUUUUGCUCGGUCCGUGAUGUAGAGGCAAAACGUUUUUGCUUAAUCUUCCCAGAAGGGAAGGGGCUGUCAGGCGGGUGGAAUAUUUUGGCAGAGAAGCUGAGAGUGGUGGGAGUAGUCCCCAUUGGAAGCUUAAAGACUCCUCUGUUUAGAGAGGUGCAGAAGAAGGAAUUGGAACUAGAAACAAGGACCUACGUGGAUGUAACAAAAUUAAGAGCGGGUAAAAUAGGAGAUAAGGUCUGGUUGGAGGUGGGAAGGAGGGUGAAGCCAGAAAGAGUUGAGCUAUUGGAUCGAUGUUUAGUGGGCAGGUGGGAAAAUGGUGUGAAUCCAUCACUAGAGCUGGAUUUUCUGAAGCAUUGGGCGGGUCAAGCUUGGCUCCUUAAAGGUAAUUUGAACAUAAAUGUUUUGGGAGGAGGGUUUUUGCUCUUCGAGUUUGAAUGUUCAAGUGAGGCUGAGCGUGUCUUGUCGAGAGGGAAGAGAAGGGUGAAAGACAAUGAAUUAAUUAUGGAAAAAUGGCAUCCGGAGGUGGGUUGCUUGGGUAAUAAAGGCAUGGUUAAAGAGGUUUGGGUGAGAGUGGUGGGCCUUCCCCUUCAUCUAUGGAGUCGAGAGGUGUUUAAAUUGAUUGGGGAUGGCUGUGGUGGUCUGAUUAAUGUGAAUGAAAAAACGUUUUCUAUGGCCAAUCUUCGAUGGGCUAGAUUGUUGGUGAGGGUGGAAGGAAGGGAUUUCCCUUCCUCAGUUCAACUGGUGGAGGGAUCGGGAUGUUAUUCAAUCCAGCUGUGGUGGGAAGUCCAGCCCUGGUAUUCUCAGGUGAUGCCGGCGGGAAGCGGGUGCUGGAAAGGUGAUACAAAGACUGAAGAUGAGGAAGGGAGUGGGUUAGGUGACGUGUGCAGAGGAAACGUGUUGGAGAAGGAGGCGCAGCUGGUGGAGCAGAUGGGAAUUCAGAGUGAGCUGCCCUGUGGAAGCUCCUCGAAAGGAACUACAGUCUUCUCUAUGGAGCCAGCUGCAAGGGGGCCUAGUGUGGAGGAGACGUAUGAAGAGGAUAGGCUAGAGAAUAGGGGUCAGGGAGCAGGUAAAGUGGUCAUAAGGGGUGGUGUUGGGUUGGGGCCUGCCGCCAUUAAGGUUGGGCCUGAUAAUGGGGAGGCCCAGAUUAGAAGCAGGCUUGGGGUAAUGAAGAGCAGUCCAGACCGUGAGGAAGCCCAGUUGUUUGGGCCGGAGGAAGCAAAGCCCAUUAUAUUAAAAGGAUGGUAGAUGGGCUGUGAGGAGAAGCCCUUUUAUAUCAGGGGUUCCUUAGUGGGCUGGGCAGGUUUGGCUGAGAUAGGCUGUGGGCCCGCGAAAGAGGGGUUAAAAGGUAUUAGGGCUUUCUCUCCCGCUGACGAAGUGGAAAUGGGAGCUAGGGCUACUGAGGAGGACUCGCAGGCUGGUGUUAGAGACGACGAGGGGGUCGCCUGCUGUCACGGAGGGGAUCAGAGGGCUUCUGAGGAUUUUUCAACGGUGUCUAGGGCACGGUUAACCGACGACGCUUUAGCAGCCGAGGCAUCCAGUUUUAUCAGGAGGAUCAACCAUGUUCAAGGACUUCCACAGAAGGUUGCAGCGUGAUGUAAAAAAAAUUGUGGAUGC